rnacentral:sRNA from 1 species
GUCCUACCGCCAGUGGAAUCAAAAUUGUCUGACAACCACCUCAUCAACAAGAACAAAAAAUACAUCGACGAUGAACUUGCACCGCAAAAAAAAUCCUAAAUCCCAGGAGUAUGUUUUUAGUUUACUUUAAUGGGUGUUGAUUAGUAAUCCAUUCCACCCAUGCCUCCCAUCGCUGGCGCCUCCUUCUCUUCCUUUGGGAUCUCUACGAUGAUGGAUUCCGUGGUUGUCAUCAGAGAUGAUACGCUGCAGAAGGCAAACAACUUGCAGUUCUGAUCACUUUUAGUGGGUCAAUGAUACCAGCCUUCACCAUGUCCACAUAUUCACCUACAUAAGCCGCAUCAUAGCCAAGGUCGGUGUUAUCUUGUUCCAAAAGCUUACCGACAACAACAGCCCCUUCUACACCUGCGUUGGAAGCAAUAGUGUGCACCGGUGUCUGCAAAAUAACAUUCUGAAUGAUUUGUACACCAAUCUUUUGAUCAAAGUUAGCAGUCGGCAAUUUAUCCAGCUCCUUUGAUGCAUAAAGAAUGGAGCAACUGCAUACCUGGUACAAUACCCUCUUCCACAGCAGCUUUAGUGGCAUUCAAUGCAUCUGUCACUCUAUCCUUCUUCUCACCAACUUCAGCUUCACUGG